GAUGAACGCUGGCGGCGUGCCUAAUACAUGCAAGUCGAGCGAACAGACGAGGAGCUUGCUCCUUUGACGUUAGCGGCGGACUGGUGAGUAACACGUGGGUAACCUACCUAUAAGACUGGGAUAACUUCGGGAAACCGGAGCUAAUACCGGAUAAUAUUUCGAACCGCAUGGUUCGAUAGUGAAAGAUGGCUUUGCUAUCACUUAUAGAUGGACCUGCGCCGUAUUAGCUAGUUGGUAAGGUAACGGCUUACCAAGGCAACGAUACGUAGCCGACCUGAGAGGGUGAUCGGCCACACUGGAACUGAGACACGGUCCAGACUCCUACGGGAGGCAGCAGUAGGGAAUCUUCCGCAAUGGGCGAAAGCCUGACGGAGCAACGCCGCGUGAGUGAUGAAGGUCUUCGGAUCGUAAAACUCUGUUAUUAGGGAAGAACAAACGUGUAAGUAACUGUGCACGUCUUGACGGUACCUAAUCAGAAAGCCACGGCUAACUACGUG
rnacentral:rRNA from 1 species